rnacentral:lncRNA from 1 species
AAAUAUUACUUGAUACAUUUAGAAUGAAGACCAUGUUUUCAGUGUCAUGAGUUUCAGUAAUCAUAUUUGUUGGACUUUGUUGUUUAAAAGUUUUUUGUGGUAAUAAGAUAUAUAGCAAAAAGGAGCUCUUCAAUGAAAAGUCAAAAUACUUCCAUAAAUGGUGGGAAUCUUGAAGGUACUACAAGUUUGCUCAAGUUUAAAACUAUGAUUGGGACACACAAACUGCUUUGUAUUUUUAUGCCCCACCUACGAUAGUAGAGGGGCAUUAUGUUUUCUGGUCUGUGCGUCCGUUCGUCCGUUCGUUCGUCCGUUCGUCCGUCUGUCCCGCUUCAGGUUAAAGUUUUUGGUCGAGGUAGUUUUUGAUGAAGUUGAAGUCCAAUCGACUUCAAACUUGGUACACAUGUUCCCUAUGAUAUGAUCUUUCUAAUUUUAAUGCCAAAUUAGAGAUUUUACCCCAAUUUUACGGUUCACUGAUAGAAAAUGUAGUGC